rnacentral:rRNA from 1 species
AGUAACGCGUGGGUAACCUGCCUCAUACAGGGGGAUAACAGUUAGAAAUGACUGCUAAUACCGCAUAAGCGCACAGUGCUGCAUGGCACAGUGUGAAAAACUCCGGUGGUAUGAGAUGGACCCGCGUCUGAUUAGCUAGUUGGUGGGGUAACGGCCCACCAAGGCGACGAUCAGUAGCCGGACUGAGAGGUUGAACGGCCACAUUGGGACUGAGACACGGCCCAGACUCCUACGGGAGGCAGCAUG